AUAAUCAAACUCGAUUUUACACAAAUCUACCAUUCACCCUAACAAAAUCUAUAAAUCUCAUUCCAAAAUCAUCAAAUCUACUUAAAAACCAUACAAAUCUAACCUAAAAGAGUGGGAUAGGGUUCAUACAUGAGGAUUAGGGUGGAAAUCGCGAGGGAGAAGAGAGAAAGCGCCGUAAAUCGCAAGGGAGAAGAGAGGAGUCGACGAAAUCGCAGGGGAAAGAGAGAGUGCGGCGGAGAGAAAUGGGGAAGAAGGUCGGGCUCGACCUAAUAAAAUGAGGCGUCCGACGGAAAUUAUCCGUCGGAAUUUCCUCG
rnacentral:lncRNA from 1 species